rnacentral:rRNA from 1 species
AGAGUUUGAUCCUGGCUCAGAGUGAACGCUGGCGGCGUGGAUUAGGCAUGCAAGUCGCGCGAACCCGCAAGGGUUAGCGGCAAACGGGUGAGUAAUGAAUGAACAAUCUGCCCUUAAGUCAGGCAUAGCCCCGUGAAAACGGGGGUAAUUCCUGAUAAUAUCAUUGAAGCGCAUGCUUUAAUGAUUAAAGGUGGGGACCGCAAGGCCUACCACUUAAGGAUGAGUUCGUUUCCUAUCAGCUAGUUGGUGAGGUAAUGGCUCACCAAGGCUUAUGACGGGUAGCUGGUCUGAGAGGAUGGUCAGCCACACUGGGACUGAGACACUGCCCAGACUCCUACGGGAGGCUGCAGUCGAGAAUAUUUAGCAAUGGGCGAAAGCCUGACUAUGCGACGCCGCGUGAGGGAUGAAGGUUUUCGGAUCGUAAACCUCUUUUGUCAAGGGAGAAAAAACUGCACCUAAUAGAUGCAGGACUGACGGUACUUGACGAAUAAGCCACGGCUAACUCCGUGCCAGCAGCCGCGGUAAUACGGAGGUGGCUAGCGUUACUCGGAAUCAUUGGGUGUAAAGGGCAAGUAGGCGGUCCAAUAAGUGAGGGGUGAAAUCCUGCGACUCAAUCGCAGAACUGCCUUUCAAACUGUCGGACUUGAGGUAAAAAGAGGAAAAUGGAAUUCUAGGUGUAAGGGUGAAAUCUGUAGAUAUCUAGAAGAACACCAACGGCGAAGGCAAUUUUCUACUCUUAUCCUGACGCUAAAUUGCGAAAGCUAGGGGAGCAAACAGAAUUAGAUACUCUGGUAGUCCUAGCCGUAAACGAUGAGCACUAGGUGUUGGUCCCUUUGGGGCCAGUGCCGCAGCUAACGCAUUAAGUGCUCCACCUGGGGACUACGGUCGCAAGGCUAAAACUCAAAGGAAUUGACGGGGGCCCGCACAAGCGGUGGAACAUGUGGUUUAAUUCGAAGAUACGCGAAAAACCUCACCAAGGCUUGACAUACAGAUAGUAGUGAACCGAAAGGGGAACGAGCCGUCAAGUCGGCAAGCUGUACAGGUGCUGCAUGGCUGUCGUCAGCUCGUGUCGUGAGAUGUUGGGUUAAGUCCCGCAACGAGCGCAACCAUUUUCUCAUGUUGCAACUAUUCUAAAUCGUAAGAUUUGGGGUAAGCACUCUUGAGGUACUGCCCGGGAUAACCGGGAGGAAGGUGGAGAUGACGUCAAGUCAGUACGGCCCUUAUGCCUUGGGCUACACACGUGUUACAAUGGGUGAAACAAAGGGUUGCCAACCCGCGAGGGGGAGCUAAUCUCUAAAAAUCAUCCUCAGUUCAGAUUGGAGUCUGCAAUCCGACUCCAUGAAGCCGGAAUCGCUAGUAAUGGAAGAUCAGCACGCUUCCGUGAAUACGUUCCCGGGCCUUGUACACACCGCCCGUCAAGCGAUGGGAGCAGGGAGUACCCGAAGUCCUGUGUAGGCAGGCCGAAGGUAAAACUUGUGACUGGCGCUAAGUCGUAACAAGGUA